CAAGGUAGCUGCAAAUCAACCCAUAAAUUGAUCAUUCACUUCUUUUUGCUGAAUCCAAGUUUGAAUAACAGAAAUGGAUGACCAAGAGUUGAUCAGUCAGGGGAGAGACUUCCAGUCACUAGAUGACUAUCAAAAAGCCAUUGAGUAUCAAGAAAAACGAUU